UGGGCGGGGCCUCCUGCCGCCGUCGCCGUGGCAGCUGCGGGCGCCCUCGGAGGCGGCGGGCGGAGAGCGGGACAGGAGUCUGAGAAGAACUCGUGAUGGCCAAAGACAUCCUGGCAGAGGCGAGUCUCCACUUCGACGAGCUGAACAAACUGAGAGUUUUGGACCCAGAGGUGUCUCAGCAAACGGUCGAGUUGAAAGAGGAAUGCAAAAUAUUUGUAGACAAAGUUGCAGAAUUUAAAAAAAUAGUGAACAACCACAUCGAGCUUGUAGAUCAGCUGGCAAAAACAACUGAGCAUGAGAAGAUCAAGGCCAUCGGUGCUCGCAACUUGCUGAAGUCAAUAGCGAAGCAAAGAGAAGCGCAACAGCAGCAGCUCCAGGAAUUAAUUGCUGAGAAGAAGAAGCAGCUGGAAAGGUCGGGAGGGGUUUGGGGUGCCCCCCAAGGCUAACAGCUCUGUGGCAAGAGAUGCCUUUGCAGGCCGGGACCUGCUUGGAUCCUCGGGGAUUGUUUCUGAGCAGGUAUCGGGUCGAAUAUCAAACACUCUGUAAGAUAGAAGCGGACCAGAAUGAAUUCAUUGACCAGUUCAUCUUCCAGAAGUAGAGCAAUAAAGUCAGGACCAGCAGCAACCAAACUGGGAAAUCGCCAAGCAUUCCAGCACCUUGACAAUUCAAAAAUGAACCAACUUAGCUGAGGUUUGCAUUAGGGUUGAUCAGCAGGUUUUUCAGGACUGCCUCUUGGAUUUUAUAAACAUCUUUUUAAUGGGCAGGCAUUUAUAGUCCAACUUGAACGCUCGGACUGUCUGUGUUCACACAGCUUCCCCCAUUUGUUCAAAUAAAAAGCACCCACUUGUAAUACACUUUUAAGGAAAUAAAUUACUGUUUUUUGA